AUUGAACGCUGGCGGCAGGCCUAACACAUGCAAGUCGAGCGGAUGAGAAGAGCUUGCUCUUCGAUUCAGCGGCGGACGGGUGAGUAAUGCCUAGGAGUCUGCCUGGUCAUGGGGGACAACGUUUCGAAAGGAACGCUAAGACCGCAUACGUCCUACGGGAGAAAGAAGGGGACCUGCGGGCCUUGCGCUAUCAGAUCAGCCUAGGUCGGAUUAGCUAGUUGGUGAGGUAAGGUCUCCCCAAGGCGACGAUCCGUAGCUGGUCUGAGAGGAUGACCAGUCACACCGGAACUGAGAGGCGGUCCAGAGUCGGACGGGACGGAGCAGUGGGGGAUAUUGGACAAUGGGCGACAGCCUGAUUCAGCCAUGCCGCGUGGGUGAAGAAGGCCUUCGGAUUGUAAAGCGCUUUAAGUUGGGCGGAAGGGCAGUAAGUUACUACCUUGCUGUUUUGACGUUACCGACAGAAGAAGCACCGGCUAACUCUGUGCCAUCAGCCGCUGUAGAAC
rnacentral:rRNA from 1 species